rnacentral:misc_RNA from 1 species
CACCGUCUCUUUUUCUCUUUUUCUCUCUCGUUUUGUUUUUUUGCAAUGGACAGCACUAGUCAUGAUUCUGAGCUUCGACUUCGAGGAGCCUCCGAUGACGUGUCCGAUUCCGGAGAUCGGACGCGGCAUGAGUCUGGUGGUGCCAGGUACAAGCUGAUGUCCCCGGCGAAGCUUCCGAUCUCGAGGUCGCCCUGCAUCACGAUCCCUCCGGGUCUUAGUCCGACGUCGUUUCUUGAGUCCCCUGUUCUGCUCUCUAAUGUUAAGGCGGAACCUUCUCCAACUACUGGUUCGUUUACUAACCCUCAAACAGGACAUGGCUUUCUUAUCUCCAAUUCAUUUUCAAUGACAGUUCCCUCAAAUGCCCAUGGAGAAAGAAAAUCCAGCUGCUUUGAGUUUAGACCCCAUGCUAUAUCAAACUUGGUUCCUGCAGAUAUGAACCACCAAAGAAGUGAACAAUCUGUUCAAGUUCAAGGCCAGUGUCAGUCUCAGUCACAUGCAUCAUCACCUACAGUCAAAAGCGAGAUGGCAGUCCCCUUGAAUGAGUUGAGUCUAUCAGCACCACUUCCUAUGGUUACUUUAGGGUCUAGUGCUCCUACUCAAGUUGAUUCAGAUGAUUUAAACCAGAUGGGGAUUUCCAACAGUGGGCUUCAGACAUCACAACCUGAUCAUAAAGGUGGAAGUAGUCUUUCAAUGCCAUCUGAUGAUGGAUAUAACUGGAGAAAA